UUUAUUUGCUGGGGGUACUCGCGAGAGUUGAGAGGGCUUCUGCCCGACCCUUUGAACCUGUUGGUUAAUACCAUCGUAGGGAAGCCGUGACAUAAUAUC
rnacentral:ncRNA from 2 species